rnacentral:lncRNA from 1 species
UAAUAAUUUUAUAUAUAUAAACUCCUCUCCUUUGCAGCAAUUACAUCAAUAUACAAGCCUUAAAAUCCAAAGAACACCAAAAUACUUGAUAAGGUGUUAUAAAAAACUUAUAUAUCCUUAUGAGGAAUUUUUCCCGAAGUUCAACAGCUCAUAACUUACGAUCUAACCGUCUAAACAACUCCAAAUUUUACAUGGAGUACUGAUAUAUCUUUAGCAACUACCACACCAAAAUUCAACUGUAAAUUCGUCUUGGAUCUUGUGAUAUCUUGAAAACCCUAACUAUAGCUUCAAACCCUAGCUUUUUUACACCCGUGUACAACUUCCUUCAUAUCUCACAAAGUAAUUAUUCAAAUACUAUGAAACUUUGAUCUAAAGCUUCUUAACCCAAUUACACACACUUAUGGAAAUUUUGAGCCAAAAAUUCGUCCAGAAACUCAAGAUAUGGCUUCACCCAUAACUAGCAACAAAACGAUAUACUUACUGCCUUCAAAUUACAAGUGCUGUCUUCAAUGCCUCAUAACUCCUUCAUCCAAUCUUAGAAUUCACUAUACAGUAAGUAGAAUGUGUAGCCGAGAAAAUGCUCCCUCCAAAUCCAGUCGCCGAUCUUCCGUUGCUCUCCGUAUUCGUAUGUGAUGCCCAAAAGAAGUGACAGUAGGUACGAAAUUUACACCUUAUCUUUGAACAUUCAUAUCUUUUCCAUAAAAACUCGAAAUCACAAAAAAUCUUCACCCAAAUUAUACCUAAAACCCUAAACCUUCUGACCCUAGCCUCAAAAGCUCGAAUGGCCUCGAAAGAGGAACCCUAAUUCCUAAUAUGGCCUCAGGCAGCCUCCUCAAAGCCCAUUGGGCAUGGUAUUCGACCAAUAGGGAUGAAGUUCUUCACCCCUUGCCUUCAUCCAACCAUGCCUUACUUUCAUCC